rnacentral:misc_RNA from 1 species
AAGUCGUAACAAGGUUUCCGUAGGUGAACCUGCGGAAGGAUCAUUAUUGAAUUAUGUUUUCUAGAUGGGUUGUAGCUGGCUCUUGGGAGCAUGUGCACGCCUGUUUAGACUUCAUUUUCAUCCACCUGUGCACCUUUUGUAGUCUUUGUUGGGUAAUGGAGGAAGUGGUCAGCCUUCUCAGCUCUCGCUGGAUAUGAGGACUUGCAGUGUGAAAGCAGUGCUGUCCGCUACUUGGCCAUGGAAUCUGUUUCCUGUCAGAGUCUAUGUCGAUCAUUAUACCCUAUAAACAGUUAUUGAAUGUUUUUACAUGGGCUUCUAUGCCUAUGAAAAUUGUAAUACAACUUUCAGCAACGGAUCUCUUGGCUCUC